GGUGCACAUGUCAAGAUCGAAGAAGACUUUCUGAACUCUGGUCGGACAGGCCGUCGAAAUGCCAUACCUGAUAUUUAUUGCCCACAGUCAAGAGUCUCAACGGCAGAACUACCCACAAAUUUUGCCAGACUGUCUUGUGAAGAGUCUGGCCAAACCCAAGUGUCAUCAAGCACUAAUCUGGGGCCCAACUCCUGAUAGAAUGACUCCAAUUUCCUCAGAUACUCAUUCUUUGCAAGAAGUGAUCCACUAGAUUACACAGUAUCCCAUCUUUGCUUUCACAAGUUGUUUUACUUUCAUUCUUCAGUACUUAUAUUGAAUGUUGGGUUAUCAAUCCCGCUGCUAGUUUUUUUUUUUACUUUGUUUUUUAACACUUUUGUCAAAUCAAUACACACUUGUCAAUAAUGAGGUGGUACUUACUAGAAUUUGUAAAUCUCCUUAGCAUUUGUAUCUUACUUUACGAAAAUAAUUGGUUCAUUUACGUUAAUGGCUUCUGAGAGACGAAAUGGGUCGAUUGUAAAUCUCUUCGCCGAUCAAUAAUUGGUAAACGAAACUCGGAAGAGUAACUUAAGAAGAAGAAAAAGAGAUCUUAUUCUCGAACGGAACCGUUGAUAAAUCUAAAAGCUAUUUUCUCAUUUCGACAGCAAGAGUUUCGACAUAUUCUUGUUAUUAUUUCUUCGAUUUGGUUCAAAGAGAUCGUGUUUACAUCAUGUGACGAAACACUCCGAUCGAUCGAAUGUUUUAUCGCCUGAAUGCAAGCUCGUGUUUUCUUGCUUCUUCUUCUUCAAUGUGUGUGUUUGACUCCUUCUUUCGGUAGUCUGACGUUAAAACGCCUUUUAUCAGACCUCAAGGAACAUGUACGCGUCAAGCAGCCUGGAACUUAAAGAUUGCUUAAAGAGUCGGUUUGCGUAUUGAUUAUUCAGGCUGUCCUAGUUGCCGUUGGUGUGGUAUGCUGUAAGAUUAAGUCUUAAAUUCACGAUCAUGGGUCUCUUAUUUCCUACUCAAAUCUCAGCUCAAUGAUCCUGUGACGUCAGCGUCGGCCAUCAAUAACUACGCUUGCUUUAGUACGUUGAACGCGUGAAGCCUCAACUUAUUGAUUGUAGCUACACUCUUUCAUCUUCUCUACACACACACCCUCUGUGCGUUUAUUGUUUCUUUGAUCGCUCGAUCCCAAAUUCCACCUUGCAUUCUAGGACGCUUGUAUAGCUUAAGAUUCUUCUUCUUACCUAGUACCUCUAAUUAACUUCGUUAACUUACACGGUAGUACUCUUCAUCCAAAAGCGUUUCGUAAUCUAGUCCUUGUCGAUGCCUUGUGAAGGCGUGUAACUAGUAAAAUGAUUAAUGACUCGUAAAACUACUGAUUAUUUUCUCGAUAAUCUGGAGCUAGAUUUUUUAUUGGAAACGUUUGCCUUCAGUUUGAAUUAUCAAUCGUUGUGUCCAUUAUUUUACUUUUAUAAGAAAGCAAUCAUUCAGUCUAUUGUAAAGUUUGGUAUUUCUUUAAAAGAAUUUAUAAGGUGAACAAAACGUUGUCUUUGUGACGGGUACGAUGAUUCGGUUUACAAAGAGAUCAGCAACUCAUUAGGCUUCAAAGAAAUUUAGUGUUUUGAAGUUAUAAAAAGAUCUUUUGAUAAGUCUAACAAUCAACCACUAAUUUUUUUUUAUUCUUCUGGCAAUUGUAAUCGUGACCCUAAUACGGUAAAUAUAGGCAUGCUUGCAAAGCAGCUGAGGCUCGAGUAGUUUUUAAUGAAAGAACAUGUUUGCUUAUGGCCGUUUCAGCAGCGAGAGGUGCAAUCCACAAUGGUUACGUGUAUAGAAGAUAACUAGGAUGCGCAUGUCAGACAGUCAGAGGUAGGAAUCAUUCAAAAUUUCAAGUGUGUUACUGCUUAUGUGGAUUACAUACUAGUAUAUUAAUAGAGAGGGGGAGCCUUGAGAUGCAUUCAACAAACAAUGCCAGCCAAACAAUGAACAAGAUCAUGCAUACAGCUUCCAACCCUAAGGAUUCGUCUUGUUUAACUUGCCUUCUACGUGCAUAUGUGGUAAUAAACCCUGAAUCGGCCCUUAGCUCGAGUGGGACUUCAGAACGAUAUUGCCCGGUAAAUUAAACGCUAACUAAACAGUCACGAAGUUUGAAGAACCCCAAGUUAACACAUUUUUCAGAUCGAUAAAAAUGUUCUGUAUUCAAAGUAGAUAACUCUUCUUGGGAUACAUACAUAUAGUGUACUGGCUCACUUUUCUUUUAUGCUACGUGGGCGAAGUAAGUUUUCUGUAUGCGAUUUUAAGUAGAAUUUCCUAGAAAGGUUAUUCCGAAAAGAACAUUUUAGAGUUCUUCCAGGUCACAAUAGACAGACAAGAACAAAGUUUUAAGCUCGACGAGAAUAACAUAGAAAUGCCAGUAAACUAAUUACGGUACCGAAAAUGGCAGUUUUAUUCAUCGCGUAGGUCGUGGCAAACUUCCUAUUUUAAAAGCUUUCCGUUAAAAUGACUAAAUGAGCAAUUUCACUCCCCAAUAUUGAUUUUCUGUUUAUUGGAUUUUUCAAAAAUAGGGGAAAUCCCAUUAAUUAACGAAAUUGGGUCCUAGCACUAAUGAUGGGAAAUGUAAAGACAAACUGUGUUACGAAACGCGGUGAGUAUCAUUGAAGCUGUUGAAACACCACCGCGACCUAAUCGAAUCGGUAAUAUAAUAAGGAUCUUUAAGUAAAAAUCCUUGUUGAAUCCUUACACGAAAGGUGGUGAUUGUUUUCCUUUGAAAGCAGACACGGGUUAUUCAAACAAAGGAAGAAACCUUACGACCGAAUUAACCAGUUUCAAGACUAUCCCUGUCAAUAAACCUCGUUUCACGAAAUUACUUUCCUUGAGCGUGUGCACUAUUGUACACGAAACAGGAUACAACACGAAAGGAGCGAAUCAUAAAAAGACCAUAAUAUCUGAUAAAAUUCACAAUAAGAAGAAAUAGGUUAUCUGUUAAUUUAAUUUGAUACCACAGUAACAUCCGGUAACAUCCAA